GACGAACGCUGGCGGCGUGCUUAACACAUGCAAGUCGAGCGGUAAGGCUCCUUCGGGAGUACACGAGCGGCGAACGGGUGAGUAACACGUGAGCAAUCUGCCCUUCACACUGGGAUAACCCCGAGAAAUUGGGGCUAAUACCGGAUAUCACUGCAAACGGCAUCAUCUGCAGUUGAAAGCUCCGGCGGUGAAGGAUGAGCUCGCGGCCUAUCAGCUAGUUGGUGGGGUAAUGGCCCACCAAGGCGACGACGGGUAGCCGGCCUGAGAGGGUGACCGGCCACACUGGGACUGAGACACGGCCCAGACUCCUACGGGAGGCAGCAGUGGGGAAUAUUGGACAAUGGGCGCAAGCCUGAUCCAGCAACGCCGCGUGAGGGAUGACUGCCUUCGGGUUGUAAACCUCUUUCAGCAGGGACGAAGCCUUCGGGUGACGGUACCUGCAGAAGAAGCACCGGCCAACUACGUGCCAGCAGCCGCCGUAACAC
rnacentral:rRNA from 1 species